rnacentral:sRNA from 1 species
UGAGACUGAGACCAUAAGCAGCUCUAUCAGGGACCUCCCUGGGCUUCCAGGAAGUGAGUCACCAGAAAACAGAGUUCCAUGUGAGUGUUUAACUGAACAAUCUUUUGAUAAAGAAUGUGGGGGCUGAGCAUGGAUCCAGUCAGUCAUUUCAGUGGAAGUCAGGAUUGAAAAUGCAUUUACCCAGGAAGGAUCUGUAGAAAGUUCAAUUGUCUGAUGGGUUGGACCCCCUAGAACUGCAUGCA